AUUCUAGGAGAAGCACUUCUUGCAGGGACUGUCACAGAUUCCAAAAACUUCUCCAUCAGCAUCUUUCCUAAGAGUCAAAGAUCUUCAGAGAUGGAGCUCCCUUCCCCCAUUUUUAUUCUCUCUCUUCAACUGCCAGGAAUGUUCCAAACAUUUCCCAACGGUCCCUGUUCCCAACAUUCUCAUUUCUAUGGCAACGACAGCAAGGGCCACGCUUUCUGCAAUGAAAAUA
rnacentral:lncRNA from 1 species